GAUGAACGCUGGCGGCGUGCUUAACACAUGCAAGUCGAACGAAGCACUUUAUUUGAUUUCUUCGGAAUGAAGAUUUUGUGACUGAGUGGCGGACGGGUGAGUAACGCGUGGGUAACCUGCCUCAUACAGGGGGAUAACAGUUGGAAACGACUGCUAAUACCGCAUAAGCGCACAGGGUCGCAUGACCUGGUGUGAAAAACUCCGGUGGUAUGAGAUGGACCCGCGUCUGAUUAGCCAGUUGGUGGGGUAACGGCCUACCAAAGCGACGAUCAGUAGCCGACCUGAGAGGGUGACCGGCCACAUUGGGACUGAGACACGGCCCAAACUCCUACGGGAGGCAGCAGUGGGGAAUAUUGCACAAUGGGGGAAACCCUGAUGCAGCGACGCCGCGUGAGCGAAGAAGUAUUUCGGUAUGUAAAGCUCUAUCAGCAGGGAAGAAGAAAUGACGGUACCUGACUA
rnacentral:rRNA from 1 species